UACGAAGGGGGCUAGCGUUGCUCGGAAUCACUGGGCGUAAAGCGCACGUAGGUGGAUCCUUAAGUCGGGGGUGAAAUCCUGGAGCUCAACUCCAGAACUGCCUUCGAUACUGAGGAUCUCGAGUCCGGGAGAGGUGAGUGGAACUGCGAGUGUAGAGGUGAAAUUCGUAGAUAUUCGCAAGAACACCAGUGGCGAAGGCGGCUCACUGGCCCGGUACUGACGCUGAGGUGCGAAAGCGUGGGGAGCAAACAGG
rnacentral:rRNA from 1 species